rnacentral:misc_RNA from 1 species
GACCCCCCCUUUGGCCCAAAUCGAAUUUUGAAAACGGCAAAGGCAUUCGAUGAUGCUCAUAUCCGUCCUGGUGCUACAUACAAAAUUUUCCACUUUUUGUCAAAAAGCGGUUUUUUGAAUUUUUUUUUAAACAUGCAUCAAGUGCACACCAAAAAUUGGUCAAAACAUGGCCGGUGGAUAUAUAAAGAAAAAAAGUGGUGGUGAGAAAGUUACUAGGGGCCAUGGCUUAGGCUAUAGGCUCCGAAACUCCUCACCCUCCGGGCCCCCUCACAGGGGUCAAUGGGGCCACUUCCUGAUCCGAAGCCUUAGUACCCCGCCGUGGGAACCGGCUUCAGAUCGCAAACUUCUACCCGAGCAGAAGCUUUAGUAUUCGUGGGGACCCCGCUCGCUGCUUCACUGCACGGCGGGUUACUUUAUGGCGACGGGGUUUCAGGUCACAACUACCCGAGCAGGCGCUCGGCUCCCGUGGGUUUCCCGCUCGCUGCUUCGCUGCACGGCGGUACCCUACGGGGGUCGGGCUCCAGGUCACAACUACCCGAGCAGGCGCUCGGUUCCCGUGGGGCUCCCGCUCGCUGCUUCGCUGCACGGCGGGUUCCUUAUGGGGCCGGGUUCCAGGUCAGUCCUUUCAAAUUGACCCGUGGGCGGGGUCACCAUGUCCCAUACCAGCUAGACCGCCAACCGUGGGCCGAGUUAUUGGACAGCGCGGGCCUUUCAAUAGGCUGCCGUUGGCUCCGGCCCGGGUGGUGUGUCGCCCCACCCGACCGCCGUGUUCCCGGGUCCUCGUCGCUUCAUUGCGCGGGACCUGUGGACGCAUGGCCGGACGAGGGUGGCCUGAAGACCCACAGGCUAUGCUCUGUGGGCUCUGAAGGAGUCUGUGGAUGGUUGGCCGAUGGCUACCGUUAUCCUAAGACAUUCGGGGGUCAGCCACAGUCGGUACCCGUGGGGACCCCGCUCGCUGCUUCACUGCACGGCGGGGGACCCAUGUGAUCGACGACCGGUAUCCUCCAACCGAGGGGUGUAUGGUGCAGUGUGGGCCGGCGUCCAGCGUCGCGAAUCCCCGCGUCUGCCCCGGACCACUCCUUGGGCAACUCAGUGGGGGCAAUUGGAUGGUCCGUGGGAACUCUUCGGCGGCUUCGGCCCCGGGGGGCUACCCGGGCUGGGUGCGGGGCUCCGGCCUCCGCCCCGACCUUGUAGCUAUCCUGAUCACCCCUUCGGGGGUGGGGUGUGACUAGGCGUGAACGCUCCUGGAGGGUGUGCGACCGAACUCUUAAGAUAGA